rnacentral:lncRNA from 1 species
UCCACCUGCUCCCAGCGCACACAGGCGGUACCCCUGCUGCCCUCCUGUAGCAGUGACAGGACCAGGUAUUUUCUGCAGCCUGAACCGCGACAUGGACAUGCGUGCUUUAGCAGCUGCUCGUGGCCCUGUGGAGACCGUGGUCGUACCCGGGUGUGUCUGGAGAGCAACGUCCUGUUAAGUGACCCGUUAAGGGCUAAGCCUCCUCGCACACAGCAAGGCGCCGUAACCUGAGCUCCCUGCUCCCCCCACCAACUGCCGCGCCGCGCCGCCCGUCCCCUUCACCGCGCCCUCUGGGCUCUGCCGUUAAUCGCACGGAGAGGGGGUGCCGCCGACACUCUUCGCUCCACCCACACGCGUGAGAGCGGCCGGGCUGGAGGGGGUUGCCUCGCUUUCCUUCAGCUUCUUAGAACUUUCUAGGCGCGAUUGUGGCCACAACUUGGACCUUCUAAGAACAGUGCUGCGUCGUGACGCUCUGCUACCAGGCUGAUCCGCUCGGGGUUUGUCCGGAAAUGGCGGACGCAGGAAAUGCAGACCACCAACCUGUUCUUUCAGAGCUGCUUGUUCUAGGCAAUCAUUACUCACUGGGGAUGCCUACUGUGUUUUCUGAAAAACACAUAUGACAGUAAUGAAUGUUCCAAAAUGAUCUUAAUUUCUACAGAGAGGAAAAGAUAAUGUGCCACUGGACAAGCAUCAGCUAAGGAGAAAUGAGGGUCCAACGAUGAAGGAUUUCUAUGACUUCUUGGAACAAACAGCUAAAGUUUCUCCAUAUCUGUCAACAAUUUAGUCGUUGAUAAUGGACUCGUUUCAUUGCACAGUGAAAAGCAAGCCCUGUAAACUGUUCCAAAACUGAAUCUCAGUCUGUGGUAUAUACAUUUACAUGGGCCUUGGUUUUGUAAUGUUCUUCAGUUAUACAAUGAGCACUGACUGAUAUAAGAAUUGCUUCAAAACAACGUUUUCCUUGUGCAAGCGGCAACUCCUCUGGCUAUAAAUAAACACUCAAACAAGGCAGCUUUAAAUAGCUUAAAAAUAACACUCUUCCAUUUCUUCCAAGCAGUAAAGUUAUGUAAAAGCAUUGCAACUGAAGAAAGGUAGGAGCCUGUAAUAGGAGCCUGAAGGGUAGGCAGAUGCUAUGGUGAUGUAAGGGCUGUGUAAGACUAUAAAUCAAACUUUAUACAGACUGUUUUAAAGCUGGGGGAGACACGUUCCCUAACCUUGGGGGAUUUGAAUCCUAUUGAAAAUGACAAGAUGCUGAACCAGUGGGAG